rnacentral:misc_RNA from 1 species
UUGAAUGAACGUUUGAGUUGGUUGUUGCUGGCCCUCUCUGGGCAUGUGCACACCUUCUCUUUCAUCCACACACACACCUGUGCACUUGUGAGAUGGAAAACGCACCUGCUUGAGGUGGGGGUCUCCAUCUGCUCUACAUAAAACCCCAUGCAUACGUAUAAAUUGAAUGUGAUCGAUGUAACACAUCUAUUAAUUAAAC